UAUGUUUAGGACAACCUACCAGGAUCCUAUGCUUGGGACAGCCUCCACGAGCUUAUACGUGGAUCAACCGAUCAGGAGCUCAUAUCUGAGAUAGUCCAUCAGGAGCUUGUACCUGGGACAGCCUCCACAGGCUUUUAUAUAUGGGACAGCCGGUCAGGAGCUCAUGCCUGGGACAGCCUUGAUGGGCUUAUGAGUGAAAAAUGUGACUGGAUGG
rnacentral:lncRNA from 1 species